rnacentral:rRNA from 1 species
CCUACGGGAGGCAGCAGUGAGGAAUAUUGGUCAAUGGGCGGAAGCCUGAACCAGCCAAGUCGCGUGAGGGAUUAAGGCCCUGCGGGUCGUAAACCUCUUUUGCCGGGGAGCAGAGGUCCGGACGUGUCCGGGCCGGGAGAGUACCCGGAGAAAAAGCAUCGUCUAACUCCGUGCCAGCAGCCGCGGUAAUACGGAGGAUGCGAGCGUUAUCCGGAUUUAUUGGGUUUAAAGGGAGCGUAGGCCGGCUUUUAAGUCAGCUGGGAAAGUCCGCGGCUCAACCGUGGAAUUGCAGUUGAAACGGGAGGCCUUGAGUGCACACAGGGAUGCCGGAAUGCAUGGUGUAGCGGUGAAAUGCGUAGAUAUCAUGAAGAACUCCGAUCGCGAAGGCAAGUGUCCGGGGUGCAACUGACGCUGAGGCUCGAAAGUGCGGGUAUCAAACAGGAUUAGAUACCCUGGUAGUC